UAAUNGCGUGACCAACCUGCCCCAUGCUCCAGAAUAGCUCUUGGAAACGGGUGGUAAUGCUGGAUGCUCCAACUUGACGCAUGUCUUGUUGGGAAAGUGUUUAGUGGCAUGGGAUGGGGGUCGCGUCCUAUCAGCUUGUAGGCGGGGUAAUGGCCCACCUAGGCUUCGACGGGUAGCCGACCUGAGAGGGCGGACGGCCACAUUGGGACUGAGAUACGGCCCAGACUCCUACGGGAGGCAGCAGAA
rnacentral:rRNA from 1 species